rnacentral:tRNA from 1 species
UCCCCCUUAGUUCAAUUGGAAGAACAAUAGACUCUUAAGUGAAUCUUUAGAUGCUGGUUCGAAUCCGGCAGGGAGAC